AAGGAGUCUAACAUGCUUGCGAGUAUUUGGGUGUCAAACCCGGAUGCGUGAUGAAAGUGAAUGGAGGUGGGAAGCGCAAGCUGCACCAUCGACCGAUCUGGAUUUUCUAAGAUGGAUUUGAGUAAGAGCACGUAUGUUGGGACCCGAAAGAUGGUGAACUAUGCCUGAAUAGGGCGAAGCCAGAGGAAACUCUGGUGGAGGCUCGUAGCGGUUCUGACGUGCAAAUCGAUCGUCAAAUUUGGGUAUAGGGGCGAAAGACUAAUCGAACCAUCUAGUAGCUGGUUCCUGC
rnacentral:misc_RNA from 1 species